GGCGGCCGCGGGGAGGUUCGGGGCGGCGCAGCCCCGCGCGGUUGUGGGAUCGCUCCCGGGGGCCGCUCCUCUCUCGGGCACUGGGGUCGCGGGAGACGUCGUCGGGAGCUCGGUUUCUGGAGGCCCUUCCCCACCCGGCCUCUGCCUCCUCCACUCCCCCGGGCUGGACGGAACGGGGCCCAGCGCGGGAUGCGAGACCUCAGUACCUGUUCGUGACAAAUCCAGUUACUAAAAGAAAUAACCAUGGAUAUGGGUAGAGACAGAGCCAUAUGGAAUGCACACUGCAGUGGUGAACACAUGGCCCAGCUCUGCCAUCAAGGAGAAGGUGAGAACAUGGGGGAAGAUUUUAUCGAAGUUUCUUUUCUGGGGCAUAUGCUCAGGUUAAACACCUGCUCUGUAUCUCUAGCUUCUGACUCCUACCCCUGGCCAGCUCUGUUACUCUAGUACACUGCUAGGCAGGCAGAGUAUGGCCAAAGUAUUCACAACAGUGCAUCACUAAAUCAACUGGGAUCCACACAAUGGAAUAUCCUAAUGCAUCAUUAAAAAUCACAUUGUAAAAGAAGAUUUUAUAACAGAAAAAAAUGCACUGUAUAUGAUACAUUUUUAAAAUGUUACUUAUGCCAGUCACAAUAAAAGACAAUUACACUUAUAUGGGAUAGAGUAGUCAAUAUUAUAGAGACAGAAGGUAGAAAUGGGUCUGGGUGGAAAUUAGAAUGAGAUGUUCUUAGCAUUCCAGUUUUACAAGAUGAAAAGAGUAACGGAGACAGAUGGCAGUGGUGGUUGCAUGACAUUAUGAAUGUACAUAAUUAAAAAUGGGUAAGAUGGCACAGUGAGAUACCAUCUCACACCAGUCAAAAUGGCUAUUACUAAAAAGUCAAAAAAAUAACAGAUGCUGGGGAGCUUGUAGAGAAAAGGGAAUGCUUAUACACUGCUAGUGGCAGUGUAAGUUAGUCCAGCCACUGUGGCAAUUCCUCAAAGAACUUAGAACUAUCAUUUGACCCAGCAAUCCCAUUACUGGGUAUAUACCCAAAGGAAUAUAAAUUGUUCUGCCUUAAAGACACAUGCAUGUGAUUGUUCAUUGCAGCACUCUUUAUAAUAACAAAGACAUGGAAUCAACCUAAAUGCUCAUCAACAGUAGACUGGAUAAAGAAAAUGUGGUUCAUAUACACCAUGGAAUACUAUGCAGCCAUAAAAAAGAAUGAGAUUAUUUCCUUUGCAGGAACAUGAAUGGAGCUGGAGGCCAUCAUCCUUAGUGAACUAACACAGGAGCAGAAAACCAAAUACCACAUGUUCUCAUGUGUAAGUGGGAGCUAAAUGAUGAGAACACAUGGACACAAAGAGGGGAACAACAGACACUGAAGCCUCCUUGAGGGAGGAGGGUAAGAGGAAGGAGAAGAUCAGAAAAGAUAACUACCAGGUACUAUGGUAGCUUAGUACCUGGGUGAUGAAAUAAUCUGUACACCCAACCCUCAUGACAGAAGUUUACCUGUGUAACAAACCUGCACAUGUAUCCCUGAAACUAAAAGUUUUUUAAAAAGUUAUUUAAUAUAUAUAUAUUUUUUUGAGACGGAGUUUUGCUCUUGUUGCCCAGGCUGGAGUGCGGUGGCGCAAUUUCGGCUCACCACAACCUCCGCCUCCCAGGUUCAAGCUAUUCCCCUGCCUCAGCCUCCCUAGUAGCUGGGAUUACAGGCUUGUGCCACCACGCCGGCUAAUUUUGUAUUUUUUGUAGAGACGGGGUUUCUCCAUGUUGGUCAGGCUGGUCUCGAACUCCCGACCUCAGGUGAUCCACCCCCCUCGGCCUCCCAAAGUGCUAGGAUUACAGGCAUGAGCCACUGCGCCCGGCAAAAAGUUAUUUAAUAUUAAUGGGACAAUACUCAUUGCAAGAAUCAGACUUCAAUUGCUAGCAUAAGUAAAUGACAGGCAGGAGAUAUUGAAAAUGCAAUCUUAUAGACAUUCAAGGAGAGGACGCAGGACAUUUCUGUGUCAUAAAUGUACUAUGGAAAAUAAAAAUGAGAAAAAUGGAAAUAAAAUACAAGAAAAGGUUAUGAUAAAUUUCAUAUUAUUUUACCACAAUAAAAAAAUUUUAAUAAAUUAUAAAUGGUGUGAUAUGUUUUGCCUGUGUUCCACCCAAAUCUCAUCUUGAAUUAGAGCUCCCACAAUUCCCACGUGUUGUGGCUGGGACCCUGUGGGAGAUAAUUGAAUCAUGGGGGCAGUUUACCCCAUACUGUUCUCUUGGUGGUGAAUAAGUCUCAUGAGAGUUGAUGGUUUGAUAAGGGGUUUCCCCUUUUGCUUGGCUCUCAUUCUCUCUUGACUGCCACCAUGUAAGAUGUGCCUUUUGCCUUCCACCAUGAUUGUGAAGCCUCCCAGCCACAUGGAACUGUGAGUC
rnacentral:lncRNA from 1 species